AUUUUCCCCCUUCUUUGGAAGCAGAAGAGUUGGGGAGAAGAGUACCAGGUCUCCUGAUAACAGGAGCCUUGUGGCAUCUCCACCUGUACUUCCCACAUGCACAGCUUGAAGAGUCAAGACGAACUCUAACUCAUGGGGUGAACAAAAUGGAAGAUGUAAAUAAGGGAAAUGGGCCCCACUGAAGGCAGGAAAGUAACUCCAGACUUUACUAGGCAGGAGUGGGACACAUCUGGCGAAUUAUCUGGACCAUGUUCGCCAGUUGCAAGUUGGGACGAAAGCUGCGACGCUUAAAGCUCUUUCGGCAUUGGGGGCAAGUGAACUGCCGUGGAGGGGCUGGAGGCGGGGCUAGCUGGGUCACACACCCUCGGCAAAAGUUAUGACCACAGCCGAUGGACACGGGAUCCUUGAAGUAAUCUAGGCAGAUGGCACACACGGCUUCCUCCUGAAGUGUCUGC